GUUUUGAUACUCUUUUACUCUCAAGUUAAUGUUUUCCUCACUUUUGCACCUAAACAAUUAACACAAUGUAGAGGUACCAGUAUAAUAUGUCAUAUAUUAAGUAUUAACUAAGUUAUAUGUGAUUCAAAAUCAAGAUAUGUCUUAUAAUUUUAUCGUAGAUAGUAAUACUAUAUUUGUUGGAAUACAAUAAAUAGUUAAUAUAUAUAUCUUAUAUUAAAGGGGUGCUGUGGUGUUCCAAUAGUGAUUACACAAAACUUAUGUUAUUGAAAUUUUUAUGUCUUUCUAAUUGCGUGCUCUGCUUUUUAUGUCUGCUCGACAGAAAACUAUAUAUAGCAUUGACUACUACAAAACUCUAAUUCUCAGCAAGAUUAACAAUGAACUCAAAAUCCAUUGGUGAUGAGUUGAAUUUUACUCUAAACCGGAUUCCAACAAUCUUAAUGGAGGGGUCUAUAAACCAUUAAUAUUGACAGAACCGCCUAAACCUAAGCAAAUCGACCGGUUUGAGAUUUAUACAAUUCGGUUCACAGUUUGAAACUUAGAACCGUUUAGGCCGGUCUCGUUUCCCCAUUUUCUGAAACACUAGUUAGUGGUUCGGCCGAUAUUUACUGUGACUGUGAGCAACUCUAAACCUUAACCUCAACAAAUCGAACGCAAACCUAAAAUGAUGAAAUUAUAAUUUUCGGUAUUCAAGUAGUAGGUAAGAGCAUAAAUAAAAGACGUGUGAUAUUGUAACAUCAUUUUGGUUUGCUAUAAGUUAUAACUCUUGUACUUAAACAAACAUAAAAUAAAACCUGCAGCUAGCACGAAUUUCACUAACCUCCUUUCUCCACAUUCAUAAGUCUGCAGACUAUUAUUUCUACACUAAUAUGUAUAAAAUUCUUAUGUUAUUACAUUUUUUCACAUUACGAGUGUUAAGAAGCUAGCAAAAAUUUACACAUUGCAUUGAGUAGGAAAACAAAACAAUGUAUAAAUUAAAUAUUGUGUAGUGCCAAUAGGGUUCACCCUUUCAUGUUUGCUACUUAAAACUUAUACAGUUACUACAAGCCUAUUAUCUAGUUAUCUACUACCCAAUUUUGAAAAGGAUCAUACCUGGUGUGCUAGAUUAUGUAUCACAACGAUACUUCUAGCAUCCUUAUAAACUCCAUGGGGACGAUACUUUGCUGCCAAUAGCCUAAAAACAUAAAUCAGAGGUCAGACUGCAGGUAUUACAAAAUGGGCAGUAAAAACUGUCAAUUUAUUUUAUAUUUAAUUUUGCACGAUAGGAAAAAAAAAUGGUUAAGUUAGUGGCAUACACUGGAACAAGACCGGUGUGCCAGUCAUUGACAAGGAACAAACAUUUUUCACCAUAUGUGAACCCUCCCAAAGGAAGCACUAAAGGAGCCUCACAUGCUGCAUGAGAAAGUAAGUUUUGCCCGAAAAUAUCAACUCAUUCCUAGCUCUCCAUAACCUCCAGCAGGCGAUAAUCACUAUACCUUGGUACACUUCUUUCUCCUUCCCCUUCAAACCGCAGUGGUUAUGAUUCUCCAAGAUGUCUCGAAACGAGAAAGCGUAAAGAAAAGAAGUUCUACACCACAUGCUAAUCUUCUGCCAAAGUACCAUAGCCAAACAGCAUGCUGUAAAAAUGUGUGUUAUGUCUCCGUCUCCGUGCCGCAGAGAGGGCACAGAUCAUCCACGACAGGAAUGACUCUCUUCCGUAGCCACCUUUGAUUCAACCAAUCACACUUCUUUUUUUUUUGGUUUUGUUUUUUAUUUUUUUACUUCAGCAACACCAACUUAGUUAGACUAUGGGGUAUGGGGCGGGGGUUGGGUACAAACGCCCAAGUCACCACCCCGGGUGGGCUUGGGUUUCGGCGUGGCCCCUUGGGCGGGGGUUUCAGCCCAGGCGUUGGGCGGGCCUAGCGGUCUUCCUUGGCCGGCUCUCAUUGGCUGGGUUGGCUAGGCUAUAGGUGUCUAGGAUUUAAAUUUAAAAAACAACUGUUUGGCCAAGCCAAACCCAUACCCCAACUACUAUAACACGUGGCCAACCCACGCGGGCUAGCCACGCCCCGCCAUACCGACCCAACAUGCAACUGACCAGCGGUGCCCUUCGAAGUCCACGUGUCAACCCAUGCCCCAAACCCCCGCCCACCAUACCCACGGUCUUAAAUGAUGGGCUAGUUAAAGCCACACUCAUACGUGGCAACGACCUACCUGGCGCUUUAACUAGUCCAUGCUAGUAGUUGAACCCCACCAUGCAGCCUAAGGUCCAAUAAAAUAUAACAAUCAUUUCUAAAAUCAUCCAUUAGUUACUUCAUUCUCUCUCCUUAUUAAAAGCAGUGUAAUUAUCUAUCUUAAAUUCCCCCAAAGUAUGUGAUAUUUUGGCUCAUAUCAAUUUCGACAAAUUUCAUACAUGAAAAUUAAGAAGUGAUAAAAAUGCUAUUAAUCAACUAAAAUAAUACACGUCGUACCCUUCUAAAUCACUUUAAGAGAAACGUGCAAUACAAUGAAAGGUAUAAUAGGUUUUUUAAAUACAAUUUUAUAUUAGUUAUUUUAAAUUACUCCAGUUGUACACACAAUUAAUUAAAUAGUUCUUUUAACUGCUAAACUUGCACACCUUCAAUCUAACCUAAUUACGAAAUUUCACUUAAACUGCCACAAAUUCAACAUCAAAUGAUCAAUCUCCAAACACAUUUCCAUAUGAAUAACAAAACCGAUACGAAUCAUAAUCUCAAAACAUAUCAUUCAAUGAACAGAACUGCAUUACACAUUCGAUUAUUCAAACACGAACAAAAAUUAUAAAAUCAAACUACUAAAACUCGUUACCUGAUUGCGGAAUCAAAUGAAAACCUACAAUCGAUCCAGAUUCAUCCUUCUCAGCGCCUAACAACACGCUAUCCUUCCGUACAUCUUCAACAGAAGAUCCGUCGUGUGAGCUUUUGCUAACCGCUCGCAAUUUCACACUACACGUCCUCUGUUUCCUAACUGCAACCGAUCGAGUGAGAAAAUGCUUAUCAACGGCGGAUUUCACCGGCGAUUUGGCGGUGAAAACAGGGCGUGAUUGGAGCAGAGUCUCCAUUGGAGACGAUAGAGGUGAUUGAGGACGUAAAGGAUCGUGAAUUGGAAGGUGAAAUGGAAGAUUGUGGAAGUGUGUGAGAGAGAAAGUGUGGUAGUGUGUGUGAGGGUUUUUGUUGGUUGAGGAUCUACUAUGAUAGAAAUCCGAAAAUAGAUAUUGCGGUUAUAAGUUUGAAUAUUAUUUUGGGGACCUCAUUGAAGAUGUCAAUAUCAUGUGACAAGUGAGAAGUUACUAUUUACAACAAAGUUGUUUUUCUAAUUUCACCAAGCGAUUC
rnacentral:lncRNA from 1 species